UAAUGUAAUAGAAUAUUGUGACAUAAGAAAUGAUUCAGAGAAUCCUGAGUAGUAUGAAAUGACAACAUGAAGUAAGGAGAAGCAGGAAAACAAAGACAACACUGUAAAGAAAAACAACUCUGGGAGACUCAAUUCUGACCAAUAAAUACAAUGUCUCCAGGAGAUCUAUGAUGAAGUGUGUUACCCACCUCUUGAUCUAGAAAUGAUGGGCACAAGCAUUUCUGGUUCAGAUCUGUGAUUUCACUGCUCUAUAGAACUCUAUGAUGGACAUACUGAAACUCCUAUGCCAAGGCGUCUUCGACUGGAGUGCUGAUCUACUAAAUGACGGGCUCACAGUCCUACAGCUCGCGUGUGUCAGAGGGAAGACCUGAAGCCAAGUCUUCUUGACGCCAAGGGCAGUGUGCUCUCUACUACAGCGCCCUGCUUUCUUGGUUACUAGUUUGCCUGCCUCUGCUCUCUCCUGGCCUCCUCCUACUCGUCGGAGCGUCCUUCUCAGAGUCUCAAGUUGUGUGUGGAUGAAUUUUAACUCCCCUCUGAUGCCAGAAGGUCCUCGAGAGCUGGGGAUGGAACUCUGCAUUGGUACACCCUUCCACAUCGAGCACGGUACGUCACACACUGAAGUGGCUUAAGACGUGCCGACCGAAGGAAGGAAGGAAGGGAGGAACUACACGGGGGAGCUCUGGCAAGAACCUUGGGAAAAUCCCAUAAAACACCAAAGACCUAAUUCCAAACCAGCCCCACAGCCACCACUGAGGAGAGGAUGGGGCCCACCUUACUCAUCACCACAAGUACAAAUCUUCCACCAACAAGCAGUUGAGCACAAGAGCCUUAGGAGUGGCAGCACUCCACCAGAACACCAGUCCUGCUUUCCUGCUCAGCCCUUGCAGCCAUUACUGGGGAAGAAACUCCUGGGAAGAAGGGGCCAGUCAUCCUCAACCUAUACCAGCUACCGGAUGCUCCUCAGGUCAUUAUAGGUCUUCAAUAGAUACCAGAUCUCUCAGAAUCAGAGAGAAUCAGAGGCAUCCUCAGCUCCACCUAGUCCAGCCCCUCUCCAAAAAGAAGUCCCACCAGACCACACUCCAGGGACAAGCAGGCAAGCGCCCAAUGCUUCAAGACCUUGAAGGAGGCCGACCCCAGCAGCCCCUGAGGUGAAUCUGUAGGUCCUCCAUUAGGGGAGUGCUCACGGUCAGGAAGCUGUUGGGGGUUUGUGACACCAAGCCCAAAUCUGGCUCUCUGCUGCCUCUCCCCACCAUCCCUGGCUUGGCCUUCUAGGGUUAAACAGAACAAGGCCAACGCCUCCUCUGCCACCUGAUGGCCCUUCUCCUGUCUCUGAGUCUUUGCCAGGGUAGGAACGCACAAGUUCUUCAACAAUCCUCAUGUGCUAUGGACUUGAGGCCCUCUCACCUCCCUUUCUGCCCAGCUCCUGUACUCUCCAGCUUCUCAGGG